AGUGAACGCUGGCGGUAGGCCUAACACAUGCAAGUCGAACGGCAGCACAGUAAGAGCUUGCUCUUACGGGUGGCGAGUGGCGGACGGGUGAGGAAUACAUCGGAAUCUACUUUUUCGUGGGGGAUAACGUAGGGAAACUUACGCUAAUACCGCAUACGACCUACGGGUGAAAGCAGGGGAUCUUCGGACCUUGCGCGAUUGAAUGGGCCGAUGUCGGAUUAGCUAGUUGGCGGGGUAAAGGCCCACCAAGGCGACGGUCCGUAGCUGGUCUGAGAGGAUGAUCAGCCUCACUGGAACUGAGACACGGUCCAGACUCCUACGGGAGGCAGCAGUGGGGAAUAUUGGACAAUGGGCGCAAGCCUGAUCCAGCCAUACCGCGUGGGUGAAGAAGGCCUUCGGGUUGUAAAGCCCUUUUGUUGGGAAAGAAAAGCAGCAGGUUAAUACCCCGCUGUUCUGACGGUACCCAAAGAAUAAGCACCGGCUAACUUCGUG
rnacentral:rRNA from 1 species